AUUGAACGCUGGCGGCAGGCUUAACACAUGCAAGUCGAGCGGGGAAAAGUAGCUUGCUACUGGACCUAGCGGCGGACGGGUGAGUAAUGCUUAGGAAUCUGCCUAUUAGUGGGGGACAACGUUCCGAAAGGGACGCUAAUACCGCAUACGUCCUACGGGAGAAAGCAGGGGAUCUUCGGACCUUGCGCUAAUAGAUGAGCCUAAGUCGGAUUAGCUAGUUGGUGGGGUAAAGGCCUACUAAGGCGACGAUCUGUAGCGGGUCUGAGAGGAUGAUCCGCCACACUGGGACUGAGACACGGCCCAGACUCCUACGGGAGGCAGCAGUGGGGAAUAUUGGACAAUGGGGGGAACCCUGAUCCAGCCAUGCCGCGUGUGUGAAGAAGGCCUUUUGGUUGUAAAGCACUUUAAGCGAGGAGGAGGCUACCGAGAUUAAUACUCUUGGAUAGUGGACGUUACUCGCAGAAUAAGCACCGGCUAACUCUGUGCCAGCCGCCGCAGUAAAAC
rnacentral:rRNA from 1 species